AAAUCAUAGCCCUGGGCUGCCUGCACCAUGGCCUGGGCUACUCUCCUGCUCACACUCCUGACUCACAUUUCAGGGCUUGAAUCUCAGCUUGUGCUGACUCAGGAAUCUGCACUGUCCACCUCUCCUGGAGGGACAGUCACACUCACCUGCAGCGCCAAUACUGGAGCUAUCACAACCAACAAUUAUGCUAGUUGGGUCCAACAGAUGCCCUAUCACACAACUAAGGGGUUAAUAUAUAGCACCAGCAGCCGCUAUGCUGGUGUCCCUGCCAGAUUCUCAGGCUCCUUGCUUGGAGACAAGGCUGCCCUCACCAUCACAGGAGCCCGAUCUGAAGAUGAGGCCACCUAUUACUGUUUGAUAUGGUACAGCAACCAUUUCCACAGUGACACAUGCUUAUAG